rnacentral:rRNA from 1 species
GACGAACGCUGGCGGCAGGCUUAACACAUGCAAGUCGAGCGCCCCGCAAGGGGAGCGGCAGACGGGUGAGUAACGCGUGGGAAUCUACCGAGCCCUAAGGAAUAGCUCCGGGAAACUGGAAUUAAUACCUUAUACGCCCUUUGGGGGAAAGAUUUAUCGGGGUUUGAUGAGCCCGCGUUGGAUUAGCUAGUUGGUGGGGUAAAGGCCUACCAAGGCGACGAUCCAUAGCUGGUCUGAGAGGAUGAUCAGCCACAUUGGGACUGAGACACGGCCCAAACUCCUACGGGAGGCAGCAGUGGGGAAUAUUGGACAAUGGGCGCAAGCCUGAUCCAGCCAUGCCGCGUGAGUGAUGAAGGCCCUAGGGUUGUAAAGCUCUUUCACCGGUGAAGAUAAUGACGGUAACCGGAGAAGAAGCCCCGGCUAACUUCGUGCCAGCAGCCGCCGUAA